rnacentral:misc_RNA from 1 species
GAUGAAGAACGUAGCGAAAUGCGAUAAGUAAUGUGAAUUGCAGAAUUCAGUGAAUCAUCGAAUCUUUGAACGCACAUUGCGCCCGCCAGCACUCUGGCGGGCAUGCCUGUUCGAGCGUCAUUUCAACCAUCAAGCCCCCAGGGGCUUGUGCUGGGGCCCUGCGGCUGCCCACAGGCCCUGAAAACCAGUGGCGGGCUCGCUAGUCACACCGAGCGCAGUAGCACAUCUCGCUCAGGGCGUGCGGCGGGCUCCUGCCGUGAAACCCCCCACUGUAACCCCAAAGGUUGACCUCGGAUCAGGUAGGAAUACCCGCUGAACUUAAGCAUAUCAAUAAGCGGAGGA